rnacentral:rRNA from 1 species
UGGGGAAUAUUGCACAAUGGGCGCAAGCCUGAUGCAGCGACGCCGCGUGAGGGAUGACGGCCUUCGGGUUGUAAACCUCUUUCGCCAGGGACGAAGCGCAAGUGACGGUACCUGGAUAAGAAGCACCGGCUAACUACGUGCCAGCAGCCGCGGUAAUACGUAGGGUGCGAGCGUUGUCCGGAUUUAUUGGGCGUAAAGAGCUCGUAGGCGGUUUGUCGCGUCGGCCGUGAAAUCUCCACGCUUAACGUGGAGCGUGCGGUCGAUACGGGCAGACUGGAGGUAUGCAGGGGAGAACGGAAUUCCUGGUGUAGCGGUGAAAUGCGCAGAUAUCAGGAGGAACACCGAUGGCGAAGGCAGGUCUCUGGGCUGACACUGACGCUCAUGCACGAAAGCGUGGGGAGCAAACAGGAUUAGAUACC